rnacentral:rRNA from 1 species
UACGUAGGGUGCAGGCGUUAAUCGGAAUUACUGGGCGUAAAGCGUGCGCAGGCGGUUCGUGAUGUCUGGUGUGAAAGCCCCGGGCUUAACCUGGGAAUUGCAUUGGAAACUAGCGGGCUGGAGUGUGGCAGAGGGGGGGUGGAAUUCCACGUGUAGCAGUGAAAUGCGUAGAGAUGUGGAGGAACACCGAUGGCGAAGGCAGCCCCCUGGGCUAACACUGACGCUCAUGCACGAAAGCGUGGGGAGCAAACAGG